rnacentral:misc_RNA from 1 species
GUUGCCCAUUCUUGCCUACUGACCUAGUUGCCUCGGCGAGCCCUGCCACUCGUGGCAGGCUGGAAGCCGCUUAAACCCCUGGGGCUUAGGCGGCCCUGGCCAGUGCCCGCCGACGGACAGACCUAAAAUCUUUAUAUAUUGGCCGUCUGAGCGUAUAAAGCAAAUCAAUUAAAACUUUCAACAACGGAUCUCUUGGUUCCGGCAUCGAUGAAGAACGCAGCGAAAUGCGAUAAGUAAUGUGAAUUGCAGAAUUCCGUGAAUCAUCGAAUCUUUGAACGCACAUUGCGCCCCCUGGUAUUCCGGGGGGCAUGCCUGUUCGAGCGUCAUUGCAACCCUCAAGCUCGGCUUGUGUGAUGGGCGACCGUCCUUCCCCUAGGGGCGGGACGCGUCCGAAAAGCAGUGGCUAGGCCGCGAUUCCGGCGCCUGAGCGAAUGGGACUUCCACCGCUUCUAGGACCGGCCGGC